GAUACUCCACGGUAACUGCGCCAGAAAUCCUUCAUGAUACUUGUGAUCUGCAUUGGGUUUUCUGUGAAGAGGAAUGGGUGAUGCAGCAUGGUAUGGAUAAGUAUUUCCUAUAGUAGAGAACCAAGGUUUAUCGAACCAACAGGAGUAACAACCAACCCCCGUCUUCAGCGACUGCACACAAAGAAGAAAACACUCGCACCCAACACGGGCAAGAGGGUUGUCAAUCCCCU
rnacentral:lncRNA from 1 species